GUGGGGAAUUUUGGACAAUGGGCGAAAGCCUGAUCCAGCCAUGCCGCGUGCAGGAUGAAGGCCUUCGGGUUGUAAACUGCUUUUGUACGGAACGAAAAGACUCCUUCUAAUAAAGGGGGUCCAUGACGGUACCGUAAGAAUAAGCACCGGCUAACUACGUGCCAGCAGCCGCGGUAAUACGUAGGGUGCAAGCGUUAAUCGGAAUUACUGGGCGUAAAGCGUGCGCAGGCGGUUAUAUAAGACAGAUGUGAAAUCCCCGGGCUCAACCUGGGAACUGCAUUUGUGACAGUAUAGCUAGAGUACGGUAGAGGGGGAUGGAAUUCCGCGUGUAGCAGUGAAAUGCGUAGAUAUGCGGAGGAACACCGAUGGCGAAGGCAAUCCCCUGGACCUGUACUGACGCUCAUGCACGAAAGCGUGGGGAGCAAACAGGAUUAGAAACCCGGGUAGUCC
rnacentral:rRNA from 1 species